GACGAACGCUGGCGGCGUGCUUAACACAUGCAAGUCGAACGGAAAGGCCCUGCUUUUGUGGGGUGCUCGAGUGGCGAACGGGUGAGUAACACGUGAGUAACCUGCCCUUGACUUUGGGAUAACUUCAGGAAACUGGGGCUACUACCGGAUAGGAGCUCCUGCUGCAUGGUGGGGGUUGGAAAUUUUCGGCGGUUGGGGAUGGACUGGCGGCUUAUCAGCUUGUUGGUGGGGUAGUGGCUUACCCAGGCUUUGACGGGUAGCCGGCCUGAGAGGGUGGCCGGCCACCAUGGGCCUGAGGGACGGCCCAGACUCCUACGGGAGGCAGCAGGGGGGAGUAUUGCACAACGGGACGAAGCCUGUGGCAGAAACGCUGCGUGCGGAAUGCCGGCUUUCGGGUUGAAAACAGCUUUAGCCUGUGAUGAAGCGGGAGUGACGGUAAUGGGUAAAGAAGCACCGGCUAACUACGUG
rnacentral:rRNA from 1 species